rnacentral:rRNA from 1 species
UGGCUGCAGUAUUUUGACUGUACAAAGGUAGCAUAAUCAUUUGUCUUUUAAUUGAAGGCUAGUAUGAAUGGUUGGACGAAAAAUAUACUUUCUUUAUUUUAUAUAAAUNAAUUAAUUUUUUAGUUAAAAAGCUAAGAUUUUUUUAUAGGACGAGAAGACCCUAUAGAACUUUAUUUUCUACAUAUAUAUAUUUUAUAGAUUUUUAAAAUAUUAUAUAUUAAUAGUUAAUUUAAUUGGGGUGAUUGAAAAAAUUAUAUAACUUUUUCUAUUUCUAUCAUUUAUUUAUGAUGUUUUUGAUCCUUUAAUAUGGAAAAUAAGAUUAAGUUACCUUAGGGAUAACAGCGUUAUUUUUUUGGAAAAUUCUUA